rnacentral:rRNA from 1 species
CGAGAAAGCCCGCAAGGGUGAGUACAGCGGCGCACGGGUGCGUAACACGUGAGUAAUCUACCCUCGUGCCCGGUACAACCUGCCGAAAGGGAAGUUAAUGCCGGAUAAGCCCACGGGGUCCUUGGAUUCUGAGGGAAAAGGCGGCCUCUGUAUACAAGCUGUCACUGCAAGAUGAGUUCGCGGCCCAUCAGCUAGUUGGCGGGGUAAUAGCCCACCAAGGCUACGACGGGUAGCUGGUCUGAGAGG